rnacentral:rRNA from 1 species
UACAGAGGGUGCGAGCGUUGUCCGGAAUCACUGGGCGUAAAGGGCGCGUAGGUGGCGGGAUAAGUGUGUGGUGAAAGCCCGGGGCUCAACCCCGGGUCGGCCAUGCAGACUGUCUUGCUCGAGCGUAGUAGAGGCAGGUGGAAUUCCGGGUGUAGCGGUGGAAUGCGUAGAGAUCCGGAAGAACACCGGUGGCGAAGGCGGCCUGCUGGGCUACUGCUGACACUGAGGCGCGACAGCGUGGGGAGCAAACAGG